rnacentral:rRNA from 1 species
AUACGGAGGGUGCAAGCGUUACUCGGAAUCACUGGGCGUAAAGCGCGCGCAGGCGGGCUGAUAAGUUGGAUGUGAAAGCCUACGGCUCAACCGUAGAACUGCAUCCAAAACUGUCAGUCUAGAGUGUGGGAGAGGAAGAUGGAAUUAGUUGUGUAGGGGUAAAAUCCGUAGAGAUAGCUAGGAAUACCAAAAGCGAAGGCAAUCUUCUGGAACACUACUGACGCUGAGGCGCGAAGGCGUGGGGAGCAAACAGGAUUAGAUACCCGGGUAGUCC